AAUUUUAAACUUAUUUAUUUUGGGGUUAUAAUUUAUUGGGUAAAAUAUUAUUUUGUUUUUUAUUUUUAAGAUAGAGGAUUGUUUUAAUUAAAGUUUAAAGUAUCGUGAGAGAAUGUUAUUAAUUUAUUAAAAGAAGAUUUUAUUUGUUGUACCUUGUGUGUCAGGGUUUGUUAAAAUUACAGUGUUUAUUUAUACUUUCCCGAAUUCAGAAGAGCUAAUUAUCUAAGGUUUUACUGUGGAAUAAUUAUUUUUAAUAGUUAAUUAGAAAUGAAACGUUAUUCGUUUCUGGAUAUAUCUGGUUUUCGAAGAAGAUAAUUUAAUUAUAUUUAAAUUUUGAAUUUUUCAAUUUUUGAUUUUUUUUAUGUUUAAGUUUAUAUUUAGGGGGAUAAGCUCCUAUUUGUUAUUUUAAAAGUUUAUUUUUAGUUUAAGGCUUUAUAGGAUUAAUAAUGUUCAUUUUUAGUUUUUAAAAAUAACGUCUUAUUUUUUAUUAUUUUUUUUUACUUUAAAUUGUUUAUUUGAAUUUUUUCUUUAAUUUUUAUGAUAAGUAAUUAUGAUUGAAUUAUUAUAUGAUUUUUUAUUUUUAAUUUUUGUUUAGAGGUUAUUAUAAGGAAUUCGGCAAAUAUUUUUUCACCUGUUUAUUAAAAACAUGUCUUUUUGUUUAAAAUUUAAAGUCUAACCUGCCCACUGAUUAAUUUAAUGGCCGCGGUAUAUUGACCGUGCAAAGGUAGCAUAAUCAUUAGUUUUUUGAUUGAGGACUGGAAUGAAUGGUUGGAUGAGAAAAAUACUGUCUCUUAAUAAAUUUUAUAAUUUUAUUUUUGAGUUAAAAAGCUUAAAUUUUUUAAAAAGACGAGAAGACCCUAUAGAGUUUAAUGUUCAAUUUUUUUUAACUUUUUGGUUUUGUUUAUGUUAUGAUUAAUUGUUUAUUUGGUUGGGGUGACUCUAGUAAUGAAUUUAACUUCUUGAUUAUUUAACCAUUGAUGGAUGAAUUUUUGAUCCUUAAUUAUUGGAUUAUUAGAUUAAAUUACCUUAGGGAUAACAGCGUAAUUUUUCUUUAGAGUUCUUAUUGAGAGAAAAGAUUGCGACCUCGAUGUUGAAUUAAAGUUUAUUUUGGGUGCAAAAGCUUGAUUGAUUAAGUCUGUUCGACUUUUAAAACUUUACAUGAUUUGAGUUUAAACCGGCGUGAGCCAGGUUGGUUUCUAUCUUUUAUAAGUUGGAUUGUUCUAGUACGAAAGGACCGGACUUUUAAAUUUCAUUUUUAUUUUUGAAU
rnacentral:rRNA from 1 species